UAAUACUAUUCACUAAAUUGAACUACCAACCACAUAACUUGUUUUUAUUUCCCUUUUACACGUAGCUGUGCUUGACGCUAUCCUCCUUGGGAUUGUUUAUAACUUAUUUUUGUGCAACUGAAAUUUAUUUUUCACUAAAUUUUUAAUUAUCUGGCUCGAUCUGGGAUGUUCUGUUGUUAAACUGUAGAAUCCAGUCAAUUGUCAAUUAGAACAAAUGUGAACGUUUUGGAUACCUAUAUUUCGAUUUAAAAUAUUUUAGAGGAGUACAUAGAAAUGCAACCUGCAUCUUGGACCAUAGAAUUGAGGUUUAAGGUUUAAGCCUGUUUUGACGUCGGUAUUUGUCUCCUUUUGGUAAAAUUGGUCGCAUUCAGCGGACGUAGCAAAGCGGUCCCAAUACGUACCGGUACCGAUGGCGAUUGGGAGCGUGUUGGACAUUUGAAUUUACAUAGUCGUGGCAGAAACGUCCGAUGCAUCAUGCACUACAAAUCCAACAUGUUGUGGGGUGGACGCCAUUUUUAUUAGCGAGUUUAUUUUUGCUAAGUAGCGGUAGCGAAGUGAUCGGUAUUGGCAGAAUUUAGUCUUGAAAGAGAAAUUUGGUUAAGGUGUAUUGGACAGUGAUCAAUGUAUUUUCACUAAACUGAAGAAAUAUUGGACAGGAUAUGGAGAAACCUGAAAAAAAUCUACACAGGCAUCAAAGACAAUAUAGGGAAGACUGGAAGGGGUAGAAUUUACUAGGAAUAUUAUCAGGGAUUACAAAAUAGUUAAACUCCCUAACCUAAUACCUCUACAAAGGUUCCUGGCAUAGUGAAAAAAGCCCCUUGCCAAAAAUAAGAAAGACUCACCUGCUAUCUGAGCGACUUAACAGAUGGAAACCACUCCAAUCAGAGUAACAUAUGUAUCCCCUCCCCCCAAGUACCAAGGCUAGGAAGUCAAAGAGUUUAAUGUUUUAUCUACAAAGAAGGCUGACAAAUGUUGAGGAAGCUCGAGUACAAGAAAUUAACCUCUUAUGACACGUCAUUGGAAGAAGUAAGGAAAUCCAGGGGGAAAAAAAUAAAAUGUUGCACUUAUUAUGUGAAUUACAAAAAAAAGCAAUAAUUCAAAAACAUAUUUUUAUUUGUGAUAAGAGCAUAUUUUGGUUAGUUUUGGUUCCUGCUGAAUGUGAUAAAUUCUAAAAUAGACCUCUUUUGAUAA